rnacentral:rRNA from 1 species
UUCUAUUAGAAUUAAUUAAUAGUAUAAUCUGCUCAAUGAAUUUAAAUAGCCGCAAUUUCUGUGCUAAGGUAGCAUAAUCAUUUGUCUUUUAAUUGAAGACUAGAACAAAAGAUUGAACAUUUUAAUUAAUUUAUUAAAAUAAAUAAUAAAAAUUAUUUUAAAUGUAAAAAAACAUUUAUUAAAAAGAAAGACGACAAGACCCUAUUGAACUUAACUUUAGUUAAACUGGGGCAGUUAAUUAAUAAAUAUUUUAAUUUAAAUAUAUAAGAAAAUGAUCUAAUUAAAUUAAUCUCAUGAAAAGUUACCAUAGGGAUAACAGCGUAAUAAUAAUUUCAAGAUCUUAUUUAAAUUAAAUUUUGCGACCUCGAUGUUGAAUUAAUAACCUAAUAAAUGCAAUAAUAUAUAAAGGAAGUCUGUUCGACUUUUAAAAAAUUACA